GACAGAGGGUGCAAACGUUGCUCGGAAUCACUGGGCGUAAAGGGCGUGUAGGCGGGAAGGAAAGUCAGAUGUGAAAUCCCCGGGCUCAACCUGGGAAUGGCAUUUGGGACUGCAAGGCUCGAGUGCGGCAGAGGAGACUGGAAUUCCUGGUGUAGCAGUGAAAUGCGUAGAUAUCAGGAGGAAUACCGAUGGCGAAGGCAGGUCUCUGGGCUGACACUGACGCUCAUGCACGAAAGCGUGGGGAGCAAACAGG
rnacentral:rRNA from 1 species